ACAGGGCGGAUGAGUAGCUGGAAGUGAGCAGUGAGCUGUGCAGAAUCCCCUUGGUGUAUUUAAAAGGUUUGUGGAAAAUUCCAACUUGGGAAGGGUUCUUUGGAGGAUAGGAUUAACAUUCAAAAUGAUCUGGAGAAAUGGUCUGAGAGAUGGAGUUCACCUUUCCAGGAGCGG